rnacentral:tRNA from 1 species
UCCUGGUAGCUCUGACAGUAAAGAAUCUGCCUGCAAAGCAGGACACCCAGGUUCAAUCCCUGGGUUGGGAA